CUCUUGGUACCUUUCAGCCAUGACACUGACUUGACCACACUGGAAUUCAGUUUCCAGUCUGUCACCUUCACUUCAACCUAGAAGACGCCCGUGCCCUCAGUGAGUACUCAGUAAGGAUAUUAGUGUAUUCAGCAAUGCAUUCAACUAUCUCAUUCUUUGCUGAAACUAGCCAGGAUUGAACCUGAUUACUGUUUGGACGGAAGAAAGGCCAAGCAGAUGCUCCUACCUGGAUUUUGGCUCUGGAAGUGUUGACACAAGUUCAGUUGGAGGUAAUGCAGCAAGUCUAGAUGUCCGCCCAAAGCCUCAUGUGGUCAUAGGCAGCUGAAUCAAGACUGUGUGAUGCUGGGAUUGAGGGUGGGUGAUUACUAAAUCAGUCCACUGAUUGGUUUGGCACCACCCUAAUCCCAGUACCUGGAUACAAUAUGAGGGACAGAAAGAGGCUUGACUUCUCCCUUGUUGCUUCUGCUACUGUGUGAGCACCAUGAACUGCCAUCCUCUGCCAUACCACCCUGCCUUGGAGCCAGGACUGAAACCUCUACAAACUGGGACCUAAAUAAACCUUUCCCUCUGUAAUUUGGGGGGUAUUUUGUCUCAACAACAAGAGAAAAGACUUUAUUUUUGCAUGAGAAAUGAGGUAGGGGUCUACCAUGGUUUGGAUAUCAUUCGUCCCCACCAAAACUUGUGUUGAAGUUUGGUUCCUGUGUGGCAGUGUCAGGAGAACCAUCAGGGAAGCUGGACACUUGCAGCUCUCAUCAAGGUUGGCACCACCACCAAACAGGCUGGCCACACUGAUUUGCUCCUGGUUUACUGUGUCCACUACGAGGACUGUUGGAUCUUUUCUGCUUGUCUCUGAACUUUUGCUGUCACACCUUUAAACUCAAAGUAGAAGUGUCCACUGGAUAGGAAUAGGCCCUAGGCUGGUCAGUAACCUCAGAAGUAGGAGAGGAUGCAUCCUCUCCUUCCAGCUUCUAUAGGGGGAAGCAGAGCUGCCUCCUGUCUUCCUUGAGGUCUGCCUGAAAGGAAGAUUAUUCAGUGCUGGACAGCCAAAAAUGACAAACAUCCACUAUAACCCGCUCCUGUGUAGUGUCAUAUUGAUAGC
rnacentral:lncRNA from 1 species